UACGGAGGGCGCAAGCGGUGUUCGGAAUCACUGGGCGUAAAGCGCGUGUAGGCGGCUUGGCAAGUCGGGUGUGAAAUCCCGAGGCUCAACCUCGGAACUGCACUCGAAACUGCCUCGCUCGAGUCCCGGAGAGGGUGGCGGAAUUCCCGGUGUAGGGGUGAAAUCCGUAGAUAUCGGGAGGAACACCAGUGGCGAAGGCGGCCACCUGGACGGUGACUGACGCUGAGACGCGAAAGCGUGGGGAGCAAACAGG
rnacentral:rRNA from 1 species